GACGAACGCUGGCGGCGUGCUUAACACAUGCAAGUGGAGCGACGAACCAGGGCUUGCCCUGGGGCAGAGCCGCGAACGGGUGAGUAACACGUGGGUAACGUGCCCCAAUGAUCGGGACAACCCGGGGAAACCCGGGCUAAUACCGCAUAUGCUCCCCUCACACCAGUGAGGGAUGGAAAGGAAGCUUCGGCCUCCGCAUUGGGCUCGGCACGCGGCCCAUUAGCUUGUUGGUGAGGUAACGGCUCACCAAGGCUGCGAUGGGUAGCUGGUGUGAGAGGACGAUCAGCCACACUGGGACUGAGACACGGCCCAGACUCCUACGGGAGGCAGCAGUGGGGAAUCUUGCGCAAUGCGCGAAAGCGUGACGCAGCAACGCCGCGUGGGGGAAGAAGGCCUUCGGGUUGUAAACCCCUUUCAGGAGGGACGAAGCCUUGGCGGUUAAUAGCCGACCGAGGUGACGGUACCUCCAGAAGAAGCCCCGGCUAACUACGUGCCAGCCGCCGCCGUAA
rnacentral:rRNA from 1 species